CGUGAGUGAAGACGGUUUUCGGAUCGUAAAGCUCUGUUGUAGGGGAAGAACGUGUGUAAGAGUGGAAAGCUUACACAGUGACGGUACCCUACCAGAAAGGGACGGCUAACUACGUGCCAGCAGCCGCGGUAAUACGUAGGUCCCGAGCGUUGUCCGGAUUUAUUGGGCGUAAAGGGAGCGCAGGCGGUUUAGUAAGUCUGAAGUUAAAGGCAUUGGCUCAACCAAUGUAUGCUUUGGAAACUGUUAGACUUGAGUGCAGAAGGGGAGAGUGGAAUUCCAUGUGUAGCGGUGAAAUGCGUAGAUAUAUGGAGGAACACCGGUGGCGAAAGCGGCUCUCUGGUCUGUCACUGACGCUGAGGCUCGAAAGCGUGGGUAGCGAACAGGAUUAGAUACCCUGGUAGUCCACGCCGUAAACGCUGAGUGCUAGGUGUUAGGUCCUUUCCGGGACUUAGUGCCGACGCUAACGCAUUAAGCACUCCGCCUGGGGAGUACGACCGCAAGGUUGAAACUCAAAGGAAUUGACGGGGGCCCGCACAAGCGGUGGAGCAUGUGGUUUAAUUCGAAGCAACGCGAAGAACCUUACCAGGUCUUGACAUCCCGAUGCCCGCUCUAGAGAUAGAGUUUUCUGCG
rnacentral:rRNA from 1 species